GGGGUGUAGCUCAGCUGGGAGAGCACCUGCCUUGCAAGCAGGGGGUCAGGAGUUCGAUUCUCCUCAUUCCACCA
rnacentral:tRNA from 1 species